AUACCUUUCUCGGCCUUUUGGCUAAGAUCAAGUGUAGUAUCUGUUCUUAUCAGUUUAAUAUCUGAUUUAUGCAGGCCAUGUGCCUACAACGAUAUUAAAUUUAUUUUCUGUGGGGAAGGGACCACCACAAUGGCUUGCCAUUGGGUCCUCUAGGUGUCGCCCAGUGUGUUGCACUAUUGUUUGGGCAGGCGCACCCCAA
rfam:Triticum aestivum genome assembly, contig: Triticum_aestivum_CS42_TGACv1_scaffold_578784_7BL